rnacentral:rRNA from 1 species
UUGUCUCAAAGAUUAAGCCAUGCAUGUCUCAGUACAAGCCAAAUUAAGGUGAAACCGCGAAAGGCUCAUUAAAUCAGUUAUGGUUCCUUAGAUCGUACCCACAUUUACUUGGAUAACUGUGGUAAUUCUAGAGCUAAUACAUGCAAACAGAGCUCCAACCGGAAACGGAAGGAGCGCUUUUAUUAGAUCAAAACCAAUCGGUGGCGGUUUCCGUCAUCGUACAACUUGGUGACUCUGAAUAACUUUACGCUGAUCGCACGGUCUCGCACCGGCGACGCAUCUUUCAAAUGUCUGCCUUAUCAACUGUCGAUGGUAGGUUCUGCGCCUACCAUGGUUGUAACGGGUAACGGGGAAUCAGGGUUCGAUUCCGGAGAGGGAGCCUGAGAAACGGCUACCACAUCCAAGGAAGGCAGCAGGCGCGCAAAUUACCCACUCCCGGCACGGGGAGGUAGUGACGAAAAAUAACGAUACGGGACUCAUCCGAGGCCCCGUAAUCGGAAUGAGUACACUCUAAACCCUUUAACGAGGAUCAAUUGGAGGGCAAGUCUGGUGCCAGCAGCCGCGGUAAUUCCAGCUCCAAUAGCGUAUAUUAAAGUUGUUGCGGUUAAAAAG